GAUGUCUUGUGUGUAGUAGACUGGUAGUGGUGUAUGGUGUUUUGAUGGAUCAUGGAGAUCAGGGUUCAAACCUCAGUGCUGCAAUAUUCUCUUUUUUCCUUCCUGGGAUACAUGCGACUUCCGUGCGAAAAAAAAAGCCGCAACGCUCUAGUUAUAACAAUCAAGGAACUCACCACUAUGCUAUUCAAUUCAACUUGCAAAUAAAUAGAUCAUCCUUUUAUUAUUUUGCAUAUUCCUCAGCACUGAACUACAUGGAGCUAAGCCUUUAAUCUUAACACCAAGGCCUACGGAGCUGGCAUGUUAGGCCUCAGCGCCAAGGCCCGUGGCGCUGAGGUAAAAGCCUAUUUUAUUUUAUUGUUCAUUUAUAAAAUAAGUUUUGUGAAAGGGUCAAAAUGUCAGAUUUUUGGGUUUUUUACUACCUUUGGGUGAUGUUUUCCCGAUAGAUUAAGAAAUAUGGUGAAAUUAAAUGAGAUAUGAUUGUAAUUAGUUGAGAUAAGGAAACAUGUGAAGAAAAAGCUAUUAUCUCCGUUCCAAAAUAAGUUCAUCUUUUCGCACAUCUUACAUAUACCAAUACAAAAUAAAAAAAAAAAUCUAGAAUAGUCCUACUUUAUCAAAUCUCAAUGCAACCAUUUUUUACUUUAUCUACUCAGAAUAUAAUUAUUUUUUAUUUUCACAAACUCCGAUACAGUGAUUACUUUAAAAAUAAACUUAUUGUGAAAUAAAUAAAAGGAGUUAAAAAUGAACUUAUUAUAGUAUAUUAUAGAACAAAACUCAAAUGCCAGAAGUAAUGAUCAUGUUAGAAUUAGUAGGUGAGAAGAGAGGGGGUUUGGCUGUGCCUGUCUGUGUAGACUUGAGAUUUCUUCUCGUGGGGGCUCAGCUGGGCCUCACUCAGGCUUACGAGGAUAAGGCGUGCAGAGCGGUGCAUUUGGCGGCCGAGUAAGAGUGAGGAUAAGGCAUGUAGCAUUCCAUGGAAGGGAAGGGAAGCAAAGCAUGGAUUUGCGGCGAUGAUCGACGGACGCACCAAGGCGCUCUUCAGGGUCAUCCAACUUCUCCUUGAUGGCUGGUACAAAUUUUGACAGGUGAACAUAGGCCGCACCACCUCCAGCUCCUACCUUUAUAACCGCAACUCCGCCAGAAAGCUUUGCGAUUCUCUCAGCCAACUUCUCAGAGUCAUAUGCUGAGUCUGUCUGAGAAAGCUCUCUCUUCAGCUGUGCAAUUCUUGCCUGGAUCUCAUCUUUGGUGGCAACAUCUGCUAUAAUGGUAGUGGAUGACUGGGAGAUUGUCACUUUCCGGGCUAUGCCAAGUUGCUCCACGGUUGUACUCUCCACCAGUAAACCAAGAUCUUUGGCUUGAAAUUCAGCACCUGAAACAAAAGACACCGCAUUAAAAAACAGUAAAUCAGACAGGCAAUAGAGAUAGAGCACACCACAGGAUGAAACAAGCUGUAGGCUUUUUGGAAAAAGAAAGAUAUGUUCUCAAAGUUCUAUGUUCAGGUAACUCAGUUCUGUCUCCGGACUUUACCAUACUUACUGGCUCCAACCACUUUAACUAAUACAAAAUCAGGUGGUGGCAAUUAGUAGAGUCUUUGUUAGCGCGUCACUUUUGCUAGAUGGCAAAGAAAUGCAUUAAUGUUGCCUAUAUUGCAGUAGAAUGACUUGUGUACAAAGCCAAUAAACCAGAUGAUAAAUAUUUGGAUUAUGCAAUGCAGGUUUAUGUCAUAAUUCAUGUAA